GGUUGUGGCUCAGAGGUAGAAUGCUCGCCUAGAAUGUGUGAGGAGGCCCUGGGUUCAAUCCUCAGCACCA
rnacentral:tRNA from 1 species